GACGAACGUUGGCGGCGUGCUUAACACAUGCAAGUCGAACGGAAAGGCCCUGCUUCUGUGGGGUGCUCGAGUGGCGAACGGGUGAGUAACACGUGAGUAACCUGCCCUUGACUUUGGGAUAACUUCAGGAAACUGGGGCUAAUACCGGAUAGGAGCUCCUGCUGCAUGGUGGGGGUUGGAAAGUUUCGGCGGUUGGGGAUGGACUCGCGGCUUAUCAGCUUGUUGGUGGGGUAGUGGCUUACCAAGGCUUUGACGGGUAGCCGGCCUGAGAGGGUGACCGGCCACAUUGGGACUGAGAUACGGCCCAGACUCCUACGGGAGGCAGCAGUGGGGAAUAUUGCACAAUGGGCGGAAGCCUGAUGCAGCAACGCCGCGUGCGGGAUGACGGCCUUCGGGUUGUAAACCGCUUUCGCCUGUGACGAAGCGUGAGUGACGGUAAUGGGUAAAGAAGCACCGGCUAACUACGUG
rnacentral:rRNA from 1 species